rnacentral:rRNA from 1 species
AUUGAACGCUGGCGGCAUGCCUUACACAUGCAAGUCGAACGGCAGCGGACCUUCGGGUGCCGGCGAGUGGCGAACGGGUGAGUAAAGUAUUGGAACGUACCUUUCAGUGGGGGAUAACGUAGCGAAAGUUACGCUAAUACCGCAUAUUCUGUGAGCAGGAAAGCAGGGGAUCGCAAGACCUUGCGCUGAUUGAGGGGCCGAUAUCAGAUUAGCUAGUUGGUGGGGUAAAGGCCUACCAAGGCGACGAUCUGUAGCGGGUCUGAGAGGAUGAUCCGCCACACUGGGACUGAGACACGGCCCAGACUCCUACGGGAGGCAGCAGUGGGGAAUUUUGGACAAUGGGCGCAAGCCUGAUCCAGCCAUGCCGCGUGAGUGAAGAAGGCCUUCGGGUUGUAAAGCUCUUUCGGCCGGGAAGAAAUCGCAUGGGCUAAUACCCUGUGUGGAUGACGGUACCGGAAUAAGAAGCACCGGCUAACUACGUGCCAGCCGCCGCCGUAAAAC